AACGAACGCUGGCGGCAUGCCUAACACAUGCAAGUCGAACGAGACCUUCGGGUCUAGUGGCGCACGGGUGCGUAACGCGUGGGAACCUGCCUUUAGGUUCGGAAUAACUCAGAGAAAUUUGAGCUAAUACCGGAUGAUGUCUUCGGACCAAAGAUUUAUCGCCUUUAGAUGGGCCCGCGUUGGAUUAGCUAGUUGGUGGGGUAAAGGCCUACCAAGGCGACGAUCCAUAGCUGGUCUGAGAGGAUGAUCAGCCACACUGGGACUGAGACACGGCCCAGACCACGAUGGGAGGAAGGAGAAGGGAAUCUUACGCAAUGGGCGAAGGCCGGACGGAGCAAAGCCGCGUGAGUGAUGAAGGUCUUCGGAUCGGAAUACGCUAUUAUGAGGGGAGGACAGAUAUGUAAGGAACAGUGCACAUCUUGACGGUACCUAAUCAGAAAGGCACGGCUAACUACGUG
rnacentral:rRNA from 1 species